GACGUAGGGCGCGAGCGUUGUCCGGAUUUAUUGGGCGUAAAGAGCUCGUAGGCGGCUUGUCGCGUCGUCCGUGAAAACUUGUGGCUUAACCACAGGCUGGCGGUCGAUACGGGCAGGCUGGAGUUCGGUAGGGGAGACUGGAAUUCCUGGUGUAGCGGUGAAAUGCGCAGAUAUCAGGAGGAACACCGGUGGCGAAGGCGGGUCUCUGGACAGUUCCUGACGCUGAGGCGCGAAGGCCAGGGGAGCAAACGGG
rnacentral:rRNA from 1 species